GACAUUUUAAAGACAUUUAAGUGAUUUUCUAGCCAUUUAAUGAUCGUAAUUCAAAUUUGAACUACAUCUACAAACAACGCCUGACCAUAACGGUUCGAAAAAUCAUAUUUGCGUACUUGUGUGUGAGUUAAUUCCAUGCGCAGUAAAUUAGAGGAAUUUCCAAACAUAUUUGUCUCAUGACAUGGACACAUGCAUAUGUAUGCAUGGAGUGAAAUGGCAUUUUAAUUCCAAAAAAAUUAAAAAAUAUGAGAAACACAUGAAACCUUGCUUGAUGUAAUGUCAUGCCACCAAGAUGAUGUGGUAAAAAUAUUGGCAUGUUUGACGAAAGUUUGGACACACACCCCUCACAAACCGGAGCAACUCACUAGAAGGCUCAUUUUUCCGAGAGGGAACAAUGCAUGUUUGAUGACAAACGGGAGAUAGCUUCAUGUUACGGCCUUCAAUUUUUUUCUACGUUUGACGUGCACUACUUCAAUGGUAAUGUGGAAUUUUGGAAAAUUCUAGGGGUAAUUUGAGCUUUUAAAGACAUUUAUGUGAUUUUCUAGAAAUUUAGUAACCGUAAUUCAAAUUUGAACUACACCUGCAUGCAACGGCUAACCAUAACGGUUUGAAAAAUCAUAUUUGUGAACUUGUGUGUGAGUUUAUUCCAUGUGCAGUAAAUUAGAAGGAAUUUUCAAACAUAUUUGUCUCAUGACAUGGACACACGCAUAUGUAUGCAUGGAGAGACAUGGCAUUUUAAUUCCAAAAAAAAUAAAAAACAUCAGAAACACAUGAAACCUUGCUAGAUGUAAUGUCAUGCCACCAAGAUGAUGUGGUAAAAAUAUUGGCAUGUUUGACGAAAGUGUGGACACACACCCCUCACAAACUAGAGCAACUCACUAGAAGGCUCGUGGUUCCGAGAGGGAACAAUGCAUGUUUGAUGACGAGCAGGAGAUAGCUUCCUCUUACGGCCUUCAAAUUUUUCUACGUUUAACGUGCACUACUACAACUGUAAUGUGAAAUUUCGGAAAAUUCUAGGGGUCAUUUGACAUUUUAAAGACAUUUAACUGAUUUUCUAGCCAUUUAAUGGUCGUAAUUCAAGUUUGAACUACAUCUACAAGCAAGGCCUGACCAUAACGGUUUGAAAAAUCAUAUUUGCGUACUUGUGUGUGAGUUAAUUCCAUGUGCAGUAAAUUAGAGGAAUUUCCUAACAUAUUUGUCUCAUGACAUGGACACAUAGAUAUGUAUGCAUGGAGUGAAAUCGCAUUUUAAUUCCAAAAAAAUUAAAAAAUAUCAGAAACACAUGAAACCUUGCUUGAUGUAAUGUCAUGCCGCCAAGAUGAUGUGGUAAAAAUAUUGGCAUGUUUGACGAAAGUUUGGACACACACCCCUCACAAACCGGAGCAACUCACUACAAGGCUCGUGGUUCCGAGAGGGAACAAUGCAUGUUUGAUGACGAGCAGUAGAUAACUUCCUCCUACGGCCUUCAAUUUUUUUCUACGUUUAACGUGCACUACUACAACUGUAAUGUGAAAUUUCGGAAAAUUCUAGGGGUCAUUUGACAUUUUAAAGACAUUUAACUGAUUUUCUAGCCAUUUAAUGGUCGUAAUUCAAGUUUGAACUACAUCUACAAGCAAGGCCUGACCAUAACGGUUUGAAAAAUCAUAUUUGCGUACUUGUGUGUGAGUUAAUUCCAUGUGCAGUAAAUUAGAGGAAUUUCCAAACAUAUUUGUCUCAUGACAUGGACACAUGCAUAUGUAUGCAUGGAGUGAAAUCGCAUUUUAAUUCCAAAAAAAUUAAAAAUAUUAGAAACACAUGAAACCUUGCUUGAUGUAAUGUCAUGCCGCCAAGAUGAUGUGGUAAAAAUAUUGGCAUGUUUGACGAAAUUUGGACACACACCCCUCACAAACCGGAGCAACUCACUACAAGGCUCGUGGUUCCGAGAGGGAACAAUGUAUGUUUGAUGACGAGCAGGAGAUAGCUUCCUCUUACGGCCUUCAAAUUUUUUUCUAAGUUUAACGUGCACUACUACAACUGUAAUGUGAAAUUUCGGAAAAUUCUAGGGGUCAUUUGACAUUUUAAAGACAUUUAACUGAUUUUCUAGCCAUUUAAUGGUCGUAAUUCAAGUUUGAACUACAUCUACAAGCAAGGCCUGACCAUAACGAUUUGAAAAAUCAUAUUUGCGUACUUGUGUGUGAGUUAAUUCCAUGUGCAGUAAAUCAGAGGAAUUUCCAAACAUAUUUGUCUCAUGACAUGGACACAUGCAUAUGUAUGCAUGGAGUGAAAUCGCAUUUUAAUUCCAAAAAAAUUAAAAAUUAUCAGAAACACAUGAAACCUUGCUUGAUGUAAUGUCAUGCCGCCAAGAUGAUGUGGUAAAAAUAUUGGCAUGUUUGACGAAAGUUUGGACACACACCCUCACAAACCGGAGCAACUCACUAGAAGGCUCGUGGUUCCGAGAGGGAACAAUGCAUGUUUGAUGACGAGCAGGAGAUAGCUUCCUCUUACGGCCUUCAAAUUUUUUUCUACGUUUAACGUGCACUACUACAACUGUAAUGUGAAAUUUCGGAAAAUUCUAGGGGUCAUUUGACAUUUUAAAGACAUUUAAGUGAUUUUCUAGCCAUUUAAUGAUCGUAAUUCAAGUUUGAACUACAGCUACAAGCAACGCUUGACCAUAACGGUUUAAAAAAUCAUAUUUGCAUACUUGUGUGUGAGUUAAUUCCAUGUGCAGUAAAUUAGAGGAAUUUCCAAACAUAUUUGUCUCAUGACAUGGACACAUGCAUAUUUAUGCAUGGAGUGAAAUGGCAUUUUAAUUCCAAAAAAUUAAAAAAUAUCAGAAACACAUGAAACCUUGCUUGAUGUAAUGUCAUGCCGCCAAGAUGAUGUGGUAAAAAUAUUGGCAUGUUUGACGAAAGUUUGGACACACACACCCCUCACAAACCGGUGCAACUCACUAGAAGGCUCGUUUUUCCGAGAGGGAACAAUGCAUGUUUGAUGACAAACGGGAGAUAGCUUCAUGUUACGGCCUUCAAUUUUUUUCUACGUUUGACGUGCACUACUACAAUUGUAAUGUGAAAUUUUGGAAAAUUCUAGGGGUAAUUUGACCUUUUAAAGACAUUUAUGUGAUUUUCUAGAAAUUUAGUGACCGUAAUUCAAAUUUGAACUACACCUGCAUGCAACGGCUAACCACAACGGUUUGAAAAAUCAUAUUUGUGCACUUGUGUGUGAGUUAAUUCCAUGUGCAGUAAAUUAGAAGAAAUUUUCAAACAUAUUUGUCUCAUGACAUGGACACACGCAUAUGUAUGCAUGGAGUGACAUGGCAUUUUAAUUCCAAAAAAAUAAAAAAACAUUAGAAACACAUGAAACCUUACUAGAUGUAAUGUCAUGCCACCAAGAUGAUGUGGUAAAAAUAUUGGCAUGUUUGACGAAAGUGUGGACACACACCCCUCACAAACUGGAGUAACUCACUAGAAGGCUCGUGGUUCCGAGAGGGAACAAUGCAUGUUUGAUGACGAGCAGGAGAUAGCUUCCUCUUACGGCCUUCAAAUUUUUUCUACGUUUAACGUGCACUACUACAACUGUAAUGUGAAAUUUCGGAAAAUUCUACGGGUCAUUUGACAUUUUAAAGACAUUUACCUGAUUUUGUAGCCAUUUAAUGGUCGUAAUUCAAGUUUGAACUACAUCUACAACCAAGGCCUGACCAUAACGGUUUGAAAAAUCAUAUUUGCGUACUUGUGUGUGAGUUAAUUCCAUGUGCAGUAAAUUAGAGGAAUUUCCAAACAUAUUUGUCUCAUGACAUGGACACAUGCAUAUGUAUGCAUGGAGUGAAAUCGCAUUUUAAUUCCAAAAAAAUUAAAAAAUAUCAGAAACACAUGAAACCUUGCUUGAUGUAAUGUCAUGCCGCCAAGAUGAUUUGGUAAAAAUAUUGGCAUGUUUGACGAAAGUUUGGACACACACCCCUCACAAACUGGAGCAACUCACUACAAGGCUCGUGGUUCCGAGAGGGAACAAUGCAUGUUUGAUGACGAGCAGUAGAUAGCUUCCUCUUACGGCCUUCAAAUGUUUUUCUACGUUUAACGUGCACUACUACAACUGUAAUGUGAAAUUUCGGAAAAUUCUAGGGGUAAUUUGACAUUUUAAAGACAUUUAAGUGAUUUUCUAGCCAUUUAAUGAUCGUAAUUGAAGUUUGAACUACAGCUACAAGCAACGCUUGACCAUAACGGUUUGAAAAAUCAUAUUUGCAUACUUGUGUGUGAGUUAAUUCCAUGUGCAGUAAAUUAGAGGAAUUUCCAAACAUAUUUGUCUCAUGACAUGGACACAUGCAUAUUUAUGCAUGGAGUGAAAUGGCAUUUUAGUUCCAAAAAAUUAAAAAAUAUCAGAAACACAUGAAACCUUGCUUGAUGUAAUGUCAUGCCGCCAAGAUGAUGUGGUAAAAAUAUUGGCAUGUUUGACGAAAGUUUGGACACACACCCCUCACAAACCGGAGCAACUCACUACAAGGCUCGUGGUUCCGAGAGGGAACAAUGCAUGUUUGAUGACAAACGGGAGAUAGCUUCAUGUUACGGCCUUCAAUUUUUUUCUACGUUUGACGUGCACUACUACAAUUGUAAUGUGAAAUUUUGGAAAAUUCUAGGGGUAAUUUGACCUUUUAAAGACAUUUAUGUGAUUUUCUAGAAAUUUAGUGACCGUAAUUCAAAUUUGAACUACACCUGCAUGCAACGGCUAACCACAACGGUUUGAAAAAUCAUACUUGUGUACUUGUGUGUGAGUUAAUUCCAUGUGCAGUAAAUUAGAAGAAAUUUUCAAACAUAUUUGUCUCAUGACAUGGACACACGCAUAUGUAUGCAUGGAGUGACAUGGCAUUUUAAUUCCAAAAAAAUAAAAAAAAACAUCAGAAACACAUGAAACCUUGCUUGAUGUAAUGUCAUGCCACCAAGAUGAUGUGGUAAAAAUAUUGGCAUGUUUGACGAAAGUUUGGACACACACCCCUCACAAACUGGAGCAACUCACUAUAAGGCUCGUGGUUCCGAGAGGGAACAAUGCAUGUUUGAUGACGAGCAGGAGAUAGCUUCCUCUUACGGCCUUCAAAUUUUUCUCUACGUUUAACGUGCACUACUACAACUGUAAUGUGAAAUUUCGGAAAAUUCUGGGGGUCAUUUGACAUUUUAAAGACAUUUAAGUGAUUUUCUAGCCGUUUAAUGAUCGUAAUUCGAAUUUGAACUACAUCUACAAGCAACGCCUGACCAUAACGGUUUGAAAAAUCAUAUUUGCGUACUUGUGUGUGAGUUAAUUCCAUGUGCAGUAAAUUAGAGGAUUUGCCAAACAUAUUUGUCUCAUGACAUGGACACAUGCAUAUGUAUGCAUGGAGUGAAAUGGCAUUAUAAUUCCAAAAAAAUUAAAAAAUAUCAGAAACACAUGAAACCUUGCUUGAUGUAAUGUCAUGCCACCAAGAUGAUGUGGUAAAAAUAUUGGCAUGUUUGACGCAAGUUUGGACACACACCCCUCACAAACCGGAGCAACUCACUAGAAGGCUCGUUUUUCCGAGAGGGAACAAUGCAUGUUUGAUGACAAACGGGAGAUAGCUUCAUGUUACAACCUUCAAUUUUUUUCUACGUUUGACGUGCACUACUACAAUUGUAAUGUGAAAUUUUGGAAAAUUCUAGGGGUAAUUUGACCUUUUAAAGACAUUUAUGUGAUUUUCUAGAAAUUUAGUGACCGUAAUUCAAAUUUGAACUACACCUGCAUGCAACGGCUAACCACAACGGUUUGAAAAAUCAUAUUUGCGUACUUGUGUGUGAGUUAAUUCCAUGUGCAGUAAAUUAGAAGGAAUUUUCAAACAUAUUUGUCUCAUGACAUGGACACACGCAUAUGUAUGCAUGGAGUGACAUGGCAUUUUAAUUCCAAAAAAAUAAAAAAAAAACAUCAGAAACACAUGAAACCUUGCUUGGUGUAAUGUCAUGCCACCAAGAUGAUGUGGUAAAAAUAUUGGCAUGUUUGACGAAAGUUUGGACACACACCCUCACAAACCGGAGCAACUCACUAGAAGGCUCGUGGUUCCGAGAGGGAACAAUGCAUGUUUCAUGACGAGCAGUAGAUAGCCGCCUCUUACGGCCUUCAAAUUUUUUUCUACGUUUAACGUGCACUACUACAACUGUAAUGUGAAAUUUCGAAAAAUUCUAGGGGUCAUUUGACAUUUUAAAGACAUUUAAGUGAUUUUCUAGCCAUUUAAUGAUCGUAAUUCAAGUUUGAACUACAGCUACAAGCAAUGCUUGACCAUAACGGUUUGAAAAAUCAUAUUUGCAUACUUGUGUGUGAGUUAAUUCCAUGUGCAGUAAAUUAGAGGAAUUUCCAAACAUAUUUGUCUCAUGACAUGGACACAUGCAUAUUUAUGCAUGGAGUGAAAUGGCAUUUUAAUUCCAAAAAACUAAAAAAUAUCAGAAGCACAUGAAACCUUGCUUGAUGUAAUGUCAUGCCGCCAAGAUGAUGUGGUAAAAAUAUUGGCAUGUUUGACGAAAGUUUGGACACACACCCCUCACAAACCGGAGCAACUCACUAGAAGGCUCGUUUUUCCGAGAGGGAACAAUGCAUGUUUGAUGACAAACGGGAGAUAGCUUCAUGUUACGGCCUUCAAUUUUUUUCUACGUUUGACGUGCACUACUACAAUUGUAAUGUGAAAUUUUGGAAAAUUCUAGGGGUAAUUUGACCUUUUAAAGACAUUUAUGUGAUUUUCUUGAAAUUUUGUGACCGUAAUUCAAAUUUGAACUACACCUGCAUGCAACGGCUAACCACAACGGUUUGAAAAAUCAUAUUUGUGUACUUGUGUGUGAGUUAACUCCAUGUGCAGUAAAUUAGAAGAAAUUUUCAAACAUAUUUGUCUCAUGACAUGGACACACGCAUAUGUAUACAUGGAGUGACAUGGCAUUUUAAUUCCAAAAAAAUAAAAAAACAUCAGAAACACAUGAAACCUUGCUAGAUGUAAUGUCAAGCCACCAAGAUGAUGUGGUAAAAAUAUUGGCAUGUUUGACGAAAGUGUGGACACACACCCCUCACAAACUGGAGCAACUCACUAGAAGGCUCGUGAUUCCGAGAGGGAACAAUGCAUGUUUGAUGACGAGCAGGAGAUAGCUUCCUCUUACGGCGUUCAAAUUUUUUCUACGUUUAACGUGCACUACUACAACUGUAAUGUGAAAUUUCGGAAAAUUCUAGGGGUCAUUUGACAUUUUAAAGACAUUUAACUGAUUUUCUAGCCAUUUAAUGGUCGUAAUUCAAGUUUGAACUACAUCUACAAGCAAGGCCUGACCAUAACGGUUUGAAAAAUCAUAUUUGCGUACUUGUGUGUGAGUUAAUUCCAUGUGCAGUAAAUUAGAGGAAUUUCCAAACAUAUUUGUCUCAUGACAUGGACACAUGCAUAUGUAUGCAUGGAGUGAAAUGGCAUUAUAAUUCCAAAAAAAUUAAAAAAUAUCAGAAACACAUGAAACCUUGCUUGAUGUAAUGUCAUGCCGCCAAGAUGAUGUGGUAAAAAUAUUGGCAUGUUUGACGCAAGUUUGGACACACACCCCUCACAAACCGGAGCAACUCACUACAAGGCUCGUGGUUCCGAGAGGGAACAAUGCAUGUUUGAUGACGAGCAGUAGAUAGCUUCCUCUUACGGCCUUCAAAUUUUUUUCUACGUUUAACGUGCACUACUACAACUGUAAUGUGAAAUUUAGGAAAAUUCUAGGGGUAAUUUGACAUUUUAAAGACAUUUAAGUGAUUUUCUAGCCAUUUAAUGAUCGUAAUUCAAGUUUGAACUACAGCUACAAGCAACGCUUGACCAUAACGGUUUGAAAAAUCAUAUUUGCAUACUUGUGUGUGAGUUGAUUCCAUGUGCAGUAAAUUAGAGGAAUUUCCAAACAUAUUUGUCUCAUGACAUGGACACAUGCAUAUUUAUGCAUGGAGUGAAAUGGCAUUUUAAUUCCAAAAAAUUAGAAAAUAUCAGAAACACAUGAAACCUUGCUUGAUGUAAUGUCAUGCCGCGAGAAUGAUUUGGUAAAAAUAUUGGCAUGUUUGACGAAAGUUUGGACACACACCCCUCACAAACCGGAGCAACUCACUAGAAGGCUCGUUUUUCCGAGAGGGAACAAUGCAUGUUUGAUGACAAACGGGAGAUAGCUUCAUGUUACGGCCUUCAAUUUUUUUCUACGUUUGACGUGCACUACUACAAUUGUAAUGUGAAAUUUUGGAAAAUUCUAGGGGUAAUUUGACCUUUUAAAGACAUUUAUGUGAUUUUCUAGAAAUUUAGUGACCGUAAUUCAAAUUUGAACUACACCUGCAUGCAACGGCUAACCACAACGGUUUGAAAAAUCAUACUUGUGUGCUUGUGUGUGAGUUAAUUCCAUGUGCAGUAAAUUAGAAGAAAUUUUCAAACAUAUUUGUCUCAUGACAUGGACACACGCAUAUGUAUGCAUGGAGUGACAUGGCAUUUUAAUUCCAAAAAAAUAAAAAAAAACAUCAGAAACACAUGAAACCUUGCUUGAUGUAAUGUCAUGCCACCAAGAUGAUGUGGUAAAAAUAUUGGCAUGUUUGACGAAAGUUUGGACACACACCCCUCACAAACUGGAGCAACUCACUAUAAGGCUCGUGGUUCCGAGAGGGAACAAUGCAUGUUUGAUGACGAGCAGGAGAUAGCUUCCUCUUACGGCCUUCAAAUUUUUUUCUACGUUUAACGUGCACUACUACAACUGUAAUGUGAAAUUUCGGAAAAUUCUGGGGGUCAUUUGACAUUUUAAAGACAUUUAAGUGAUUUUCUAGCCGUUUAAUGAUCGUAAUUCGAAUUUGAACUACAUCUACAAGCAACGCCUGACCAUAACGGUUUGAAAAAUCAUAUUUGCGUACUUGUGUGAGUUAAUUCCAUGUGCAGUAAAUUAGAGGAUUUGCCAAACAUAUUUGUCUCAUGACAUGGACACAUGCAUAUGUAUGCAUGGAGUGAAAUGGCAUUAUAAUUCCAAAAAAAUUAAAAAAUAUCAGAAACACAUGAAACCUUGCUUGAUGUAAUGUCAUGCCACCAAGAUGAUGUGGUAAAAAUAUUGGCAUGUUUGACGCAAGUUUGGACACACACCCCUCACAAACCGGAGCAACUCACUAGAAGGCUCGUUUUUCCGAGAGGGAACAAUGCAUGUUUGAUGACAAACGGGAGAUAGCUUCAUGUUACAACCUUCAAUUUUUUUCUACGUUUGACGUGCACUACUACAAUUGUAAUGUGAAAUUUUGGAAAAUUCUAGGGGUAAUUUGACCUUUUAAAGACAUUUAUGUGAUUUUCUAGAAAUUUAGUGACCGUAAUUCAAAUUUGAACUACACCUGCAUGCAACGGCUAACCACAACGGUUUGAAAAAUCAUAUUUGCGUACUUGUGUGUGAGUUAAUUCCAUGUGCAGUAAAUUAGAAGGAAUUUUCAAACAUAUUUGUCUCAUGACAUGGACACACGCAUAUGUAUGCAUGGAGUGACAUGGCAUUUUAAUUCCAAAAAAAUAAAAAAAAACAUCAGAAACACAUGAAACCUUGCUUGGUGUAAUGUCAUGCCACCAAGAUGAUGUGGUAAAAAUAUUGGCAUGUUUGACGAAAGUUUGGACACACACCCUCACAAACCGGAGCAACUCACUAGAAGGCUCGUGGUUCCGAGAGGGAACAAUGCAUGUUUCAUGACGAGCAGUAGAUAGCUGCCUCUUACGGCCUUCAAAUUUUUUUCUACGUUUAACGUGCACUACUACAACUGUAAUGUGAAAUUUCGGAAAAUUCUAGGGGUCAUUUGACAUUUUAAAGACAUUUAAGUGAUUUUCUAGCCAUUUAAUGAUCGUAAUUCAAAUUUGAACUACAUCUACAAGCAACGCCUGACCAUAACGGUUUGAAAAAUCAUAUUUGCGUACUUGUGUGUGAGUUAAUUCCAUGUGCAGUAAAUUAGAGGAUUUUCCAAACAUAUUUGUCUCAUGACAUGGACACAUGCAUAUGUAUGCAUGGAGUGAAAUGGCAUUAUAAUUCCAAAAAAAUUAAAAAAUAUCAGAAACACAUGAAACCUUGCUUGAUGUAAUGUUAUGCCGCCAAGAUGAUGUGGUAAAAAUAUUGGCAUGUUUGACGCAAGUUUGGACACACACCCCUCACAAACCGGAGCAACUCACUAGAAGGCUCGUUUUUCCGAGAGGGAACAAUGCAUGUUUGAUGACAAACGGGAGAUAGCUUCAUGUUACGGCCUUCAAUUUUUUUCUACGUUUGACGUGCACUACUACAAUUGUAAUGUGAAAUUUUGGAAAAUUCUAGGGGUAAUUUGACCUUUUAAAGACAUUUAUGUGAUUUUCUAGAAAUUUUGUGACCGUAAUUCAAAUUUGAACUACACCUGCAGGCAACGGCUAACCAUAACUCACUAGAAGGCUCGUGGUUCCUAGAGGGAACAAUGCAUGUUUGAUGACGAGCAGGAGAUAGCUUCCUCUUACGGCCUUCAAAUUUUUGUACGUUUAACGUGCACUACUACAACUGUAAUGUGAAAUUUCAGAAAAUUCUAGGGGUCAUUUGACAUUUUAAAGACAUUUAAGUGAUUUUCUACCCAUUUAAUGAUCGUAAUUCAAAUUUGAACUACAUCUACAAGCAACGCCUGACCACAACGGUUCGAAAAAUCAUAUUUGCAUACUUGUGUGUGAGUUAAUUCCAUGUGCAGUAAAUUAGAGGAAUUUCCAAACAUAUUUGUCUCAUGACAUGGACACAUGCAUAUGUAUGCAUGGAGUGAAAUGGCAUUUUAAUUCCAAAAAAGUUAAAAAAUAUGAGAAACACAUGAAACCUUGCUUGAUGUAAUGUCAUGCCACCAAGAUGAUGUGGUAAAAAUAUUGGCAUGUUUGACGAAAGUUUGGACACACACCCCUCACAAACCGGAGCAACUCACUAGAAGGCUCAUUUUUCCGAGAGGGAACAAUGCAUGUUUGAUGACAAACGGGAGAUAGCUUCAUGUUACGGCCUUCAAUUUUUUCUAUGUUUGACGUGCACUACUACAAUGGUAAUGUGGAAUUUUGGAAAAUUCUAGGGGUAAUUUGAGCUUUUAAAGACAUUUAUGUGAUUUUCUAGAAAUUUAGUGACCAUAAUUCAAAUUUGAACUACACCUGCAUGCAACGGCUAACCAUAACGGUUUGAAAAAUCAUAUUUGUGAACUUGUGUGUGAGUUAAUUCCAUGUGCAGUAAAUUCGAAGGAAUUUUCAAACAUAUUUGUCUCAUGACAUGGACACACGCAUAUGUAUGCAUGGAGAGACAUGGCAUUUUAAUUCCAAAAAAAUAAAAAAAGAUCAGAAACACACGAAACCUUGCUUGAUGUAAUGUCAUGCCACCAAGAUGAUGUGGUAAAAAUAUUGGCAUGUUUGACGAAAGUUUGGACACACACCCCUCACAAACUGGAGCAACUCACUAGAAGGCUCGUGGUUCCGAGAGGGAACAAUGCAUGUUUGAUGACGAGCAGGAGAUAGCUUCCUCUUACGGCCUUCAAAUUUUUUCUACGUUUAACGUGCACUACUACAACUGUAAUGUGAAAUUUCGGAAAAUUCUAGGGGUCAUUUGACAUUUUAAAGACAUUUAAGUGAUUUUCUAGCCAUUUAAUGAUCGUAAUUCAAAUUUGAACUACAUCUACAAGCAACGCCUGACCAUAACGGUUUGAAAAAUCAUAUUUGCGUACUUGUGUGUGAGUUAAUUCCAUGUGCAGUAAAUUAGAGGAAUUUCCAAACAUAUUUGUCUCAUGACAUGGACACAUGCAUAUGUAUGCAUGGAGUGAAAUGGCAUUUUAAUUCCAAAAAAAUUAAAAAAUAUCAGAAACACAAGAAACCUUGCUUGAUGUAAUGUCAUGCCACCAAGAUGAUGUGGUAAAAAUAUUGGCAUGUUUGACGAAAGUUUGGACACACACCCCUCACAAACCGGAGCAACUCACUAGAAGUCUCGUUUUUCUGAGAGGGAACAAUGCUUGUUUGAUGACAAACGGGAGAUAGCUUCAUGUUACGGUCUUCAAUUUUUUUCUACGUUUGACGUGCACUACUACAAUUGUAAUGUAAAAUUUUGGAAAAUUCUAGGGGUAAUUUGAGCUUUUAAAGACAUUCAUGUGAUUUUCUAGAAAUUUAGUGACCGUGAUUCAAAUUUGAACUACGCCUGCAUGCAACGGCUAACCAUAAUGGUUUGAAAAAUCAUAUUUGUGUACUUGUGUGUGAGUUAAUUCCAUGUGUAGUAAAUUAGAAGGAAUUUUCAAACAUAUUUGUCUCAUGACAUGGACACACGCAUAUGUAUGCAUGGAGUGACAGGGCAUUUUAAUUCCAAAAAAAUAAAAAAAAUCAGAAACACAUGAAACCUUGAUUGAUGUAAUGUCAUGCCACCAAGAUGAUGUGGUAAAAAUAUUUGCAUGUUUGAUGAAAGUUUGGACACACACUCCUCACAAACCGGAGCAACUCACUAGAAGGCUCCUGGUUCCUAGAGGGAACAAUGCAUGUUUGAUGACGAGCAGGAGAUAGCUUCCUCUUACGGCCUUCAAAUUUUUUCUACGUUUAACGUGCACUACUACAACUGUAAUGUGAAAUUUCGGAAAAUUCUAGGGGUCAUUUGACAUUUUAAAGACAUUUAAGUGAUUUUCUAGCCAUUUAAUGAUCGUAAUUCAAAUUUGAACUACAUCUACAAGCAACGCCUGACCAUAACGGUUCGAAAAAUCAUAUUUGCGUACUUGUGUGUGAGUUAAUUCCAUGUGCAGUAAAUUAGAGGAAUUUCCAAACAUAUUUGUCUCAUGACAUGGACACAUGCAUAUGUAUGCAUGGAGUGAAAUGGCAUUUUAAUUCCAAAAAAAUAAAAAAUAUGAGAAACACAUGAAACCUUGCUUGAUGUAAUGUCAUGCCACCAAGAUGAUGUGGUAAAAAUAUUGGCAUGUUUGACGCAAGUUUGGACACACACCCCUCACAAACCGAAGCAACUCACUAGAAGGCUCGUUUUGCGAGAGGGAACAAUGCAUGUUUGAUGACAAACGGGAGAUAGCUUCAUGUUACGGCCUUCAAUUUUUUUCUACGUUUGACGUGCACUACUACAAUUGUAAUGUGGAAUUUUGGAAAAUUCUAUUGGUAAUUUGAGCUUUUAAAGACAUUUAUGUGAUUUUCUAGAAAUUUAGUGACCGUAAUUCAAAUUUGAACUACACCUGCAUGCAACGGCUAACCAUAACGGUUUGAAAAAUCAUAUUUGUGAACUUGUGUGUGAGUUAAUUCCAUGUGCAGUAAAUUAGAAGGAAUUUUCAAACAUAUUUGUCUCAUGACAUGGACACCCGCAUAUGUAUGCACGGAGUGACAUGGCAUUUUAAUUCCAAAAAAAUAAAAAAAAACAUCAGAAACACAUGAAACCUUGCUUGAUGUAAUGUCAUGCCACCAAGAUGAUGUGGUAAAAAUAUUGGCAUGUUUGACGAAAGUUUGGACACACACCCCUCACAAAGCGAAGCAACUCACUAGAAGGCUUGUGGUUCCGAGAGGGAACAAUGCAUGUUUGAUGACGAGCAGGAGAUAGCUUCCUCUUACGGCCUUCAAAUUUUUCUACGUUUAACGUUCACUACUACAACUGUAAUGUGAAAUUUCGGAAAAUUCUAGGGGUCAUUUGACAUUUUAAAGACAUUUAAGUGAUUUUCUAGCCAUUUAAUGAUCGUAAUUCAAAUUUGAACUACAUCUACAAGCAACGCCUGACCAUAUCGGUUUGAAAAAUCAUAUUUGCGUACUUGUGUGUGAGUUAAUUCCAUGUGCAGUAAAUUAGAGGAAUUUCCAAACAUAUUUGUCUCAUGACAUGGACACAUGCAUAUGUAUGCAUGGAGUGAAAUGGCAUUUUAAUUCCAAAAAAAUAAAAAAUAUCAGAAACACAUGAAACCUUGCUUGAUGUAAUGUCAUGCCACCAAGAUGAUUUGGUAAAAAUAUUGGCAUGUUUGACGAAAGUUUGGACACACACCCCUCACAAACCGGAGCAACUCACUAGAAGGCUCGUGGUUCCGAGAGGGAACAAUACAUGUUUGAUGACGAGCAGGAGAUAGCUUCCUCUUACGGCCUUCAAAUUUUUUCUACGUUUAACAUGCACUACUACAACUGUAAUGUGAAAUUUCGGAACAUUCUAGGGGUCAUUUGACAUUUUAAAGACAUUUAAGUGAUUUUCUAGCCAUUUAAUGAUCGUAAUUCAAAUUUGAACUACAUCUACAAACAAUGCCUGACCAUAACGGUUUGAAAAAUCAUAUUUGCGUACUUGUGUGUGACUUAAUUCCAUGUUCAGUAAAUUAGAGGAAUUUCCAAACAUAUUUGUCUCAUGACAUGGACACAUGCAUAUGUAUGCAUGGAGUGAAAUGGCAUUUUAAUUCCAAAAAAAUUAAAAAAUAUCAGAAACACAUGAAACCUUGCUUGAUGUAAUGUCAUGCCACCAAGAUGAUGUGGUGAAAAUAUUGGCAUGUUUGACGAAAGUUUGGACAGACACCCCUCACAAACCGGAGCAACUCACUAGAAGGCUCGUUUUUCCGAGAGGGAACAAUGCAUGUUUGAUGACAAACGGGAGAUAGCUUCAUGUUACGGCCUUCAAUUUUUUCUAUGUUUGACGUGCACUACUACAAUUGUAAUGUGAAAUUUUGGAAAAUUCUAGGGGUAAUUUGACCUUUCAAAGACCUUUAUGUGAUUUUCUUGAAAUUUAGUGACCGUAAUUCAAAUUUGAACUACACCUGCAUGCAACGGCUAACCAUAACGAUUUGAAAAAUCAUAUUUGUGUACUUGUGUGUGAGUUAAUUCCAUGUGUAGUAAAUUAGAAGGAAUUUUCAAAUAUAUUUGUUUCAUGACAUGGACACACGCAUAUGUAUGCAUGGAGGGACAUGGCAUUUUAAUUCCAAAAAAAUAAAAAAAACAUCAGAAACACAUGAAACCUUGCUUGAUGUAAUGUCAUGCCACCAAGAUGAUGUGGUAAAAAUAUUGGCAUGUUUGACGAAAGUUUGGACACACACCCCUCACAAACCGGAGCAACUCACUAGAAGGCUCCUGGUUCCGAGAGGGAACAAUGCAUGAUUGAUGACGAGCAGGCGAUAGCUUCCUCUUACAGCCUUCAAAUUUUUUCUAUGUUCAACGUGCACUACUACAACUAUAAUGUGAAAUUUCAGAAAAUUCGUGGGGUCAUUUGACAUUUUAAAGACAUUUAAGUGAUUUUCUAGCCAUUUAAUGAUCGUAAUUACAAUUUGAACUACAUCUACAAGCAACGCCUGACUAUCACGGUUUGAAAAAUCAUAUUUUCGUACUAGUGUGUGAGUUAAUUCCAUGUGCAGUAAAUUGGAGGAAUUUCCAAACAUAUUUCUCUCAUGACAUGGACACAUGCAUAUGUAUGCAUGGAGUGACAUGGCAUUUUAAUUCCAACAAAAAUAAAAAAACAUCAGAAACACAUGAAACCUUGGUUGAUAUAAUUUCAUGCCACCAAGAUGAUGUGGUAAAAAUAUUGG
rnacentral:lncRNA from 1 species